ACUUCUGAAAGAUUCCAUCUGUAAAUACCAUCGCGCUGGGGGUUAGGGCUUCAACAUAUGAAUAUUGCGGGGACACAGACAUUCAAUCCAUAAUAGCAAGUUUCAGUGGAUUUCAGAAGCCCCUAAGGCAGAAAAGCAAAAGCACCUUAUUUUUUGUCCACUUGACCUGUGUCUUAUGUUGGACUGAAAUGUAGCUGAAAUACAACAUCAUAAUUUUUACUGGAAAAUAGCCACAAUGAAGGAACACCACAAUUUCACCAUGAAAACCAGCACAACCUUACACAGAUGACAAACAUUUCCCCUCAAAACUUGUUAAACUGUAUUUGGGCUGACCAAAUUAACCAGAGUUAUUCUAUUUAUGGGGGAGCAGGAAGUAACUUGAUAAAAUGCUUUGAGUUUAUAUAUCAUGUCAAAUAAAUAGCAUAAUUUUAAAGGAAAAAAACUUGUUAGGCAAUG
rnacentral:lncRNA from 1 species